AUGACGGGUGGAGCCAUACCAGAAAGGUCUGCCUAGAGGUCCCCAGUAACAGGUGCUAGCACCAGCACUGGGAGAAAAUUCAGUGGGCAACCACCAAGUGCCCAGAAGUUUGCCUAGGCAUUAAGCUGCUAAGUCUUGGCUCAAAGUUCUCUGUAUGGUGAUAUGGAAACUGCCUAUACUUCUGAUCUAGGAAUCAACUCCAAGCCUUUCCCCAAGUUAACUCCAGGACGAGGAAGAAGCAAAGUGCUCUCCCUCAGUCUGAGUUAUUCAGAUGCCCCAUGGAAAGGACAUUUGUUUUCCUUGGCCACCAAGAUCCAACCAUGUUCUGAUUGGCAGAAUACUCCACCAUGGAAGGGAGGAGCAGAUGGCUGAACAAGGUAUCUACGUUCCAGAAUAUCUUCUUAACAACCCCUAAACAAGUGAAAGUCUGCUUACUUAUGUAUCAAAAGAUAAGAAAAAAAGAUCACAAUUGUCUGACAGGGAAUAUGGACCUG
rnacentral:lncRNA from 13 species